GAUGAACGCUGGCGGCGUGCCUAAUACAUGCAAGUCGAGCGAACAGACGAGGAGCUUGCUCCUCUGACGUUAGCGGCGGACGGGUGAGUAACACGUGGAUAACCUACCUAUAAGACUGGGAUAACUUCGGGAAACCGGAGCUAAUACCGGAUAAUAUAUUGAACCGCAUGGUUCAAUAGUGAAAGACGGUUUUGCUGUCACUUAUAGAUGGAUCCGCGCCGCAUUAGCUAGUUGGUAUGGUAACGGCUUACCAAGGCAACGAUGCGUAGCCGACCUGAGAGGGUGAUCGGCCACACUGGAACUGAGACACGGUCCAGACUCCUACGGGAGGCAGCAGUAGGGAAUCUCCCGCAAUGGGCGAAAGCCUGACGGAGCAACGCCGCGUGAGUGAUGAAGGUCUUCGGAUCGUAAAACUCUGUUAUUAGGGAAGAACAAAUGUGUAAGUAACUAUGCACGUCUUGACGGUACCUAAUCAGAAAGCCACGGCUAACUACGUG
rnacentral:rRNA from 1 species